rnacentral:rRNA from 1 species
UACGUAGGGGGCAAGCGUUGUCCGGAAUUAUUGGGCGUAAAGAGCGCGUAGGCGGUCCGAUAAGUCGGCUGUGAAAGUCAGGGGCUCAACCCUUGGAAGCCGGCCGAUACUGUCGGACUAGAGUCCGGAAGAGGCGAGUGGAAUUCCCGGUGUAGCGGUGAAAUGCGCAGAUAUCGGGAGGAACACCGGUGGCGAAGGCGGUUCUCUGGGCCUGACCUGACGCUGAGGAGCGAAAGCGUGGGGAGCGAACAGG